CCCGUAUAUAAGCCCCUCCUUGUAUAAGCCCAUCAAAAAUCGCUUACGGAAAAAUAUAAGCCCAGGGCUUAUAGUCGGAGGUUUACGGUAUUUUGUUCUUAAUGCUGAAUACCUCAAUGGCCUUGGCAAUGUUCCUCGAGCAUAUUCGGCUGGGAAGGAUUGGUCAAACUCUGCCAAUCGGUGAACUAUAGAACACAAGCUAGAACUAAGAUUAUAUGGCGAUCGAUUGUUGUAACAUAUUGUAAUAAUGAGAGAUUGAGAAUGCACAAACAGGCCGGGGUUGCAUGGUGAUCGCGAUCUAAUUAAUGCUAAGCUAAGUGCUUAGCCAUGAUUUCAUGAUAAUAUAUAAUACUUGACAAAACCAUGCAACUCUCUAGCCUGUGUGUCAGUAACAGUGUAGUCAACUGGAACACAGGCUAUAGUAACACAAAACGUACUACUGUG
rnacentral:lncRNA from 1 species